GGGGCUCAACCCCUACAUGUUGAAGGGCCUCAAAGAGAGACAUAUAUCAGGGCAUUUCGAUUUCCAUUUGCCAAUGAUAAAGUUCUCCCAAUUACAAAUACUAUGGAAGGUUCUAAUAAAGGAGCUCACUCUGACCUUCCACGGGAUGAAAAGGAUCUCCCUAACCUACAUAUUUUUAUGCGAUCUUUGUGACGGGAACAAAGCCAUGUCUGGGGACCACAGAGAUACGAUCAUUUCUGAAGAGGUCAUCUAAGACAGACGUAGAGGUAAAACAAAGGAUUUUGGUAAAGCACAUUAAAUGAUCUGUCAAUGAUGGAAUAGGACUGAAUUGCCUAUUGUCGUCUGCUGAGGCAAGGCCAUCCUUCUAGAAUAAAAGCAGG
rnacentral:lncRNA from 1 species